rnacentral:rRNA from 1 species
AUCCUGGCUCAGGAUGAACGCUAGCGGGACGCCUAACACAUGCAAGUCGAACGACCCCUUGUGGGGAGUGGCAAACGGGCGAGUAACACGUACCUAAUCUACCCCAAAGUCAUGGACAACUAUAGAGAUAUAGCUAAGCCGUGAUAGUCUCUCUAUGCUGAGAUGCUAAGAGAGUAAAGAUUUAUCGCUUUGGGAGGGGGGUGCGGCCUAUCAGAUAGUUGGUGAGGUAAUAGCUCACCAAGUCUAUGACGGGUAGCCGGUCUGAGAUGAUGUCCGGUCGCAAUGGGACUGAGAUACGGCCCAUACUCCUACGGGAGGCAGCAGUGGGGAAUCUUGCGCAAUGGACGAAAGUCUGACGCAGCGAUCCCGCGUGAAGGAUGAAGCAUUACGGUGUGUAAACUUCUUUUUUGGUGGAAGACGAAUGACGGUACACCAAGAAUAAGAGACGGCUAACUACGUGCCAGCAGCCGCGGUAAUACGUAGGUCUCAAGCGUUAUCCGGAUUUACUGGGCGUAAAGCGUCUGUAGCCUGAUCUGUAAGUCUGUUUUCAAAUACUGUGGCUCAACCAUAGAAAGGGAAUGGAUACUGCAGAUCUAGAGGUCAUUAGAGGUUAGUGGAAUUUCCGGUGGAGCGGUGAAAUGUGUUGAUAUCGGAAAGAACGCCGAAAGCGAAAGCAGCUAACUAUAAUGAACCUGACGGUCAGAGACGAAAGCUUGGGUAGCAAACGGGAUUAGAUACCCCGGUAGUCCAAGCCGUAAAUUAUGCUUGNAAGGUGUU